rnacentral:rRNA from 1 species
GACGAACGCUGGCGGCGUGCUUAACACAUGCAAGUCGAACGAAGAGCGAUGGAAGCUUGCUUCUAUCAAUCUUAGUGGCGAACGGGUGAGUAACGCGUAAUCAACCUGCCCUUCAGAGGGGGACAACAGUUGGAAACGACUGCUAAUACCGCAUACGAUCUAAUCUCGGCAUCGAGGAUAGAUGAAAGGUGGCCUCUACAUGUAAGCUAUCACUGAAGGAGGGGAUUGCGUCUGAUUAGCUAGUUGGAGGGGUAACGGCCCACCAAGGCGAUGAUCAGUAGCCGGUCUGAGAGGGUGAGCGGCCACAUUGGAACUGAGACACGGCCCAGACUCCUACGGGAGGCAGCAGUGGGGAAUCUUCCGCAAUGGACGAAAGUCUGACGGAGCAACGCCGCGUGAGCGAUGACGGCCUUCGGGUUGUAAAGCUCUGUUAAUCGGGACGAAAGGCCUUCUUGCGAAUAGUGAGAAGGAUUGACGGUACCGGAAUAGAAAGCCACGGCUAACUACGU